rnacentral:piRNA from 1 species
UUAGAAGAAUAAAUACUUUCUAGAGGAAA